rnacentral:tRNA from 1 species
GAGCGCGGUAGUACAGCGGUUAGUGCAUAUCCGGGUUUGAGCGAAGGCCCAGGUUCGACUCCUGGCCCGUCCA